rnacentral:rRNA from 1 species
CUGCCUGAUGAGGGGGAUAACUACUGGAAACGGUAGCUAAUACCGCAUAACGUCGCAAGACCCAAAGAGGGGGGACCUUCGGGCCUCUUGCCAUCGGAUGUGCCCAGAUGGGAUUAGCUUGUUGGUGGGGUAACGGCUCACCAAGGCAACGAUCCCUAGCUGGUCUGAGAGGAUGACCAGCCACACUGGAACUGAGACACGGUCCAGACUCCUACGGGAGGCAGCAGUGGGGAAUAUUGCACAAUGGGCGCAAGCCUGAUGCAGCCAUGCCGCGUGUAUGAAGAAGGCCUUCGGGUUGUAAAGUACUUUCAGCGGGGAGGAAGGGAGUAAAGUUAAUACCUUUGCUCAUUGACGUUACCCGCAGAAGAAGCACCGGCUAACUCCGUG